rnacentral:rRNA from 1 species
UUAAGUGAAUAAGGGCGCACGGUGGAUGCCUUGGCACUAGGAGCCGAUGAAGGACGGGACUAACACCGAUAUGCUUUGGGGAGCUGUAAGUAAGCUAUGAUCCAGAGAUUUCCGAAUGGGGGAACCCAAUAUCUUUUAUAGGAUAUUACUUUUCAGUGAAUACAUAGCUGAUUAGAGGUAGACGCAGAGAACUGAAACAUCUUAGUACCUGCAGGAAGAGAAAGAAAAUUCGAUUCCCUGAGUAGCGGCGAGCGAAACGGGAAGAGCCCAAACCAACAAGCUUGCUUGUUGGGGUUGUAGGACUCCAACAUGGUAGACUGUUAGUAUAGUUGAAGGAUUUGGAAAAUUCCGCUAAAGAGGGUGAAAGCCCCGUAGACGAAAUGCUGACAACACCUAGGAGGAUCCUGAGUACGGCGGAACACGAGAAAUUCCGUCGGAAUCCGCGGGGACCAUCCCGCAAGGCUAAAUACUCCCUAGUGACCGAUAGUGAACCAGUACCGUGAGGGAAAGGUGAAAAGCACCCCGGAAGGGGAGUGAAAUAGAUCCUGAAACCGUGUGCCUACAACAAGUCAAAGCUCGUUAAUGAGUGAUGGCGUGCCUUUUGUAGAAUGAACCGGCGAGUUACGAUUGCAUGCGAGGUUAAGUCGAAGAGACGGAGCCGCAGCGAAAGCGAGUCUGAAUAGGGCGAAUGAGUAUGUAGUCGUAGACCCGAAACCAUGUGAUCUACCCAUGUCCAGGUUGAAGGUGCGGUAAAACGCACUGGAGGACCGAACCCACGUACGUUGAAAAGUGCGGGGAUGAGGUGUGGGUAGCGGAGAAAUUCCAAACGAACUUGGAGAUAGCUGGUUCUCUCCGAAAUAGCUUUAGGGCUAGCCUCGGAAUUGAGAAUGAUGGAGGUAGAGCACUGUUUGGACUAGGGGCCCAUCUCGGGUUACCGAAUUCAGAUAAACUCCGAAUGCCAUUCAUUUAUAUCCGGGAGUCAGACUGCGAGUGAUAAGAUCCGUAGUCGAAAGGGAAACAGCCCAGACCACCAGCUAAGGUCCCAAAAUAUAUGUUAAGUGGAAAAGGAUGUGGGGUUGCACAGACAACUAGGAUGUUGGCUUAGAAGCAGCCACCAUUUAAAGAGUGCGUAAUAGCUCACUAGUCGAGUGACCCUGCGCCGAAAAUGUACCGGGGCUAAACAUAUUACCGAAGCUGUGGACUACACCAUUAGGUGUAGUGGUAGGAGAGCGUUCUAAGGGCGUUGAAGGUCGAUCGUGAGGACGGCUGGAGCGCUUAGAAGUGAGAAUGCCGGUAUGAGUAGCGAAAGACAGGUGAGAAUCCUGUCCACCGUAUGACUAAGGUUUCCUGGGGAAGGCUCGUCCGCCCAGGGUUAGUCGGGACCUAAGCCGAGGCCGAUAGGCGUAGGCGAUGGACAACAGGUUGAUAUUCCUGUACCAGUUGUUUUUGUUUGAGCAAUGGAGGGACGCAGUAGGCUAAGGAAUGCAUGCGAUUGGAAGUGCAUGUCCAAGCAAUGAGUCUUGAGUAGAGUUAAAUGCUUUACUCUCUAAGGACAAGUUGUGACGGGGAGCGAAAUAAUAGUAGCGAAGUUCCUGAUGUCACACUGCCAAGAAAAGCUUCUAGUGAGAAAACAACUGCCCGUACCGUAAACCGACACAGGUAGUCGAGGAGAGUAUCCUAAGGUGAGCGAGCGAACUCUCGUUAAGGAACUCGGCAAAAUGACCCCGUAACUUCGGGAGAAGGGGUGCUGACUUCGGUCAGCCGCAGUGAAUAGGCCCAAGCGACUGUUUAUCAAAAACACAGGUCUCUGCAAAAUCGUAAGAUGAAGUAUAGGGGCUGACGCCUGCCCGGUGCUGGAAGGUUAAGAGGAUGGGUUAGCUUCGGCGAAGCUCAGAAUUGAAGCCCCAGUAAACGGCGGCCGUAACUAUAACGGUCCUAAGGUAGCGAAAUUCCUUGUCGGGUAAGUUCCGACCCGCACGAAAGGCGUAACGAUUUGGGCACUGUCUCAACGAGAGACUCGGUGAAAUUUUAGUACCUGUGAAGAUGCAGGUUACCCGCGACAGGACGGAAAGACCCCAUGGAGCUUUACUGUAGUUUGAUAUUGAGUGUUUGUACCACAUGUACAGGAUAGGUAGGAGCCGAUGAGACCGGAACGCUAGUUUCGGAGGAGGCGCUGGUGGGAUACUACCCUUGUGUUAUGAACCCUCUAACCCGCACCACUAAUCGUGGUGGGAGACAGUGUCAGAUGGGCAGUUUGACUGGGGCGGUCGCCUCCUAAAAGGUAACGGAGGCGCCCAAAGGUUCCCUCAGAAUGGUUGGAAAUCAUUCGAAGAGUGUAAAGGCAGAAGGGAGCUUGACUGCGAGACCUACAAGUCGAGCAGGGACGAAAGUCGGGCUUAGUGAUCCGGUGGUUCCGCAUGGAAGGGCCAUCGCUCAACGGAUAAAAGCUACCCUGGGGAUAACAGGCUUAUCUCCCCCAAGAGUCCACAUCGACGGGGAGGUUUGGCACCUCGAUGUCGGCUCGUCGCAUCCUGGGGCUGUAGUCGGUCCCAAGGGUUGGGCUGUUCGCCCAUUAAAGCGGCACGCGAGCUGGGUUCAGAACGUCGUGAGACAGUUCGGUCCCUAUCCGUCGCGGGCGUUGGAAAUUUGAGAGGAGCUGUCCUUAGUACGAGAGGACCGGGAUGGACUUACCGCUGGUGUACCAGUUGUUCUGCCAAGGGCAUUGCUGGGUAGCUAUGUAGGGAAGGGAUAAACGCUGAAAGCAUCUAAGUGUGAAGCCCACCUCAAGAUGAGAUUUCCCAUUUCUUUAAGAAAGUAAGACCCCUGAGAGAUGAUCAGGUAGAUAGGUUGGAAGUGGAAGGCUAGUGAUAGUUGGAGCGGACCAAUACUAAUCGGUCGAGGACUUAACCAA